rnacentral:rRNA from 1 species
CAGUCGAGCGAAUGGAUUGAGAGCUUGCUCUUAUGAAGUUAGCGGCGGACGGGUGAGUAACACGUGGGUAACCUGCCCAUAAGACUGGGAUAACUCCGGGAAACCGGGGCUAAUACCGGAUAAUAUUUUGAACUGCAUGGUUCGAAAUUGAAAGGCGGCUUCGGCUGUCACUUAUGGAUGGACCCGCGUCGCAUUAGCUAGUUGGUGAGGUAACGGCUCACCAAGGCAACGAUGCGUAGCCGACCUGAGAGGGUGAUCGGCCACACUGGGACUGAGACACGGCCCAGACUCCUACGGGAGGCAGCAGUAGGGAAUCUUCCGCAAUGGACGAAAGUCUGACGGAGCAACGCCGCGUGAGUGAUGAAGGCUUUCGGGUCGUAAAACUCUGUUGUUAGGGAAGAACAAGUGCUAGUUGAAUAAGCUGGCACCUUGACGGUACCUAACCAGAAAGCCACGGCUAACUACGUGCCAGCAGCCGCGGUAAUACGUAGGUGGCAAGCGUUAUCCGGAAUUAUUGGGCGUAAAGCGCGCGCAGGUGGUUUCUUAAGUCUGAUGUGAAAGCCCACGGCUCAACCGUGGAGGGUCAUUGGAAACUGGGAGACUUGAGUGCAGAAGAGGAAAGUGGAAUUCCAUGUGUAGCG